GCAGCGCGCAUAGGGGCCUCGCCGCCCGAUGGCUCCCGCCGCCAAGCGGGGCGCCAAGGGCACCAAAUGGACCAGAGACCCGCAGCUCGGAGACCUGGUCCUCGCCAGGGUCAAGGGCUACCCUUUCUGGCCAGCCAAGGUGAGCAGGCCGGAAGACUGGAAUCAGGUGCCGGCUCUGCGCAAGUUCUUUGUCCUCUUCUAUGGCACCAAAGAGAUUGGUUUUGUAGCUUUGCAAGAUCUCAUGCCAUUUACAGAAGAGGUGAAGAAUGACUGGGUAAAUCAAGCUCGAGAGAAACGCUUACCGAAAAGAUAUGCGAAAGGUCUUGAGGAAGCCUUGGUGGAGAUAUGCAAUGCCUAUGAUGAGCUACCAAAUUCAUCUGAAACUGCAAAAUCAUCUGAAACUGGAAAUGGUUUGUUGCCUGAUCAAACUCUUGAUCUGAUUGAAAAACCUACAGACCUCCUUGUAAAGCCACCUGAUGAUGGUGGGCCUCAAAAGCUGGAGCAAAUGGAAGGUGAUAGUUCUAUGAAAAACUUGAAUUCUUUAGGGCACAUUUCAGGAACUGAAGAGGAUGUGAAAGAUGGUGGUCAUGACAGAAAGGAUCCUUUUCCAACAGCUUCUAAAAGGAAAAUAUCUGUAGAAAAGGAUUCUGGCCAUCCCAAGAAAAAGAAACCUGUUGCAUCAAAGUCAGCUACCGACCUGCACUUUGAACAAGAGCAUUCAUCAAUCUUUCCAUGCUCUGAAAGAGAGACUGAGGACCAGAAAGUUGGCAAAGAGAACCAUUCGACCGGAGAUUUAAUUUUGGACCCUACUGUACAGAUAGUCUGCGCUCUUGCAGUGCCAAAGAAAUGUAAAACCGAGAAGCAGUUGAAGGAUGCUGACAGGAAGGAAAACAAGCAUGUCGAUGUCACUGGUAUUUCUACGGGUACUGCUCCUGAGGCUUUACCUGUUAGUGUACCAAACAAUGGUGCUGACAAAGAGAGCACAGGAUUUAAAAAGUUGAAGACGAUGAUGAAACCAUCAGCUACGGAAAAAUCAGAGAGAAAGGAUCAUAAUAGCAAAGUAAUACUUGACAAGCCUAACAAACAGUUGACUGGAAAGUCACCUGCUGUAUUUUCUCCCAAUAAGAAAUCUAUGCCUGCUAGUGGGCAGCGCAAGCCGGAGGGUAGCGCUGAUAUGCGUCCGGCAAAGAGGCCAAAACUAACUGACAGAGCCAAUGAAACAGUUAAGUCAGGGGCACACAGCGAGCCAAAGUUACCUGUUGAUAAUAAAAAGGAUAUUUCUGUGAAAGAUGAGAAAUCAACUUCCGCAGGAACUGGAAACAGCACAUUUCCUGAGAUUGUGACCACCGGUGAUAAGACAAGGAAAUCAGGUGUAGUUUUAUCACCCUUACCAAGGCUGCAUUCAGAGGGAUUGGAACAGCCACCCGGUUCUGCAACCAAGUUAAGUGUUUUUGAUAGUGCUAAGAAGGGCUCCAGCAUAAAGGAGAAUGGCUCACGUGUUGGUAGGCCAUUGGAAAAGCCCAGGAGAAGAGCGUGUCGUUUUGAGGAUGACGAGGAGGAAGAACAACGGACACCACCGCAUAAAACUGUGGCCAAACCAACCUCCAAACAUGUAGCCCCAACAGAGAAGAUCCAUCAGACAGGUAUUCGGGGAAUUCCUUCCUCACAAGUUGGGAAUAUUUCUGCAAAAAAAUCUGGUGUGGCAAGAGAAGAGAAACCUAGAAGUGUUGGAAGGUCACCUGUGAAGCAUGAGCCAAUUUAUUCGCCAAGUCAAAAUAAAGUGCUUGCUAGACAAGGAAGAAAAUCAACCACCACCUCAAUCAAUACUUCUGCUGAAUUGGGUAACAAGAUUAACCUGGCAGAUCGCAAGUCCUCUGGACAAUCAAGAAUGCCAGCACCAUCUGAACUGAAGAAACCACAAGGUAGUUCUUCUAAAGUAUUGUAUAAUCAGACACCUGGGAAUUCUCAUUCUCAAAGCCAUGCUGCCUUAGAGAAGAAUUUGCUUCUGUCUAAAUCAGAAAAUGCCAAGGCUAAAGCUAAGCCUAGCACACAGUUGCCUAUAGCUGUGGAGAGUAGAUUAAGUGCCAAUUUUUCAGGUGAACGAAAUGUGAAGCUGGAUCACUCGAAAGAGGACAGAUCAAAUUUUGUUGAUAAAGCUGAUGUUGCCGAGCCUAGUGCUGACUCUGUCAAGUCAAUGAAGAAUCUUAUUGCAGCUGCUCAGGCAAGGAGAAACCUUCUUGCGUCUGGUCAAGGGAAUUCUGAUGGAUCUUUUGCGGACAAUGCUGUUCUUGCCUCCACACCAUAUGGCUUGCCUGGACUAAGUCCUAGUCCUGGCUUUCACAUUCGAUCUGCGUCUAAAAUUGCUAUUUCAGAGGGUGACAUUAUGCAAUUUCAAGACUCCAUCGCUGAACCUAGUCAACAAGUUGACCUGAAAAAGCCUGCAGAAACUCACCGUGAACAUGAAAAGAGUCCAAAACCUAAGCAAUCCAGUGGUUCACUGAGUGGUGGUACCGAUGCAGCAAUUGCACGUGAUGCCCUGGAGGGAAUGAUAGAGACACUAUCGAGGACAAAAGAUAGUAUAGGUCGUGCUACGCGUCAUGCAAUUGAGUGCUCGAAACAUGGCAUUGCGGAUGAGAUUGUUGAGCUUCUCAUAAGGAAAAUGGAGAGUGAGCCUAAUUUUCACCGCAGAGUUGAUCUCCUUUUCCUUUUAGACUCCAUAACACAGUGUUCUCACUCUCAUAAAGGCGUUGCUGGGGCUUCAUAUGUUCCCAGUAUCCAAGCUGCAUUACCUCGUAUUUUGAGCGCUGCUGCUCCACCUGUAGCUGGUGCUCGUGAAAACCGACGCCAGUGCCUCAAAGUUUUAAAAUUGUGGCUACAGAGAAAGAUUAUGCCAGAAGAAGUACUGCGAAGAUACAUGAAUGACUUUGAGGGGCCAAAUGAUAAUACAAGCACAGGUUUGCUGCUCAGGCGACCAUCCCGAGCUGAACGUUCUGUAGAUGAUCCUAUUAGGGAAAUGGAAGACAUGCUUGUCGAUGAAUAUGGAAGCAAUACAACCUUUGUCUUUGAAAUUGAUGAAGAUUUCCCUCGAAUUAAUGGGUUGUCAACAGUUAUCUCUCUGCAAGUUGAAAGGGGUGAAAUACAAGAAGGCAUAGAAAUUAUUGCUCCAAAUUCUGUGGAGGAACACACCACGGUGCUAGAGAGUGUAACUGAUGACACUGUCAUGGAAGAUGCUAUAGAUUUACCAAGGAACAUGCAACUGAUAGAUGGAUUUGUCCUCAUUGAGCAUGAUUCAAGACAGGAAGCAAGUUCAGAGGAGGCAUUGAAUAAUCAGUAUGAGCUUCCCCCUCUACCUGCGGGUCCUCCACCACUUCCACUGGAUUCACCACCUCCCCCACCUUUACCUGAGGGCCCUCCACCUCUCCCAUUGGAUUCACCACCUCCCCCACCUCCUUUGCCUCCUUCGCCACCACCUGCUACACCACCGCCGCCACCUCCACCACUUUCACCAUCUUCGCCACCUCCUCUGCCACCCCUGCCAUCUGGACCACCUCCACAGCCUGCUCCACCACCUCCUCAUCCUUCUAUCCCGCCACCUGUUCUGUCAUCUCCAUCAUCAUUGGGUUAUCAGCCUGCUGUGCCAGAAUAUUUCAGGCCUCCCAGUGGUAACCAACCAACAGAAAAUUCAUCAAUCCAAGGUAUUGGAAAUCUGCCAAACUUCAUGCCUGGUGGACCAGCUAAUGCGCAAGCUCCAGUUAAUUUUGUCCAGUCGUUGCCACCAGAUUAUGGAACCAAUAAUAUCUUCAUGGCACAGCAAGCUUCUAAUGGUAAUUACCAGUUUCAGCCUGGUGUAUCUUUUCAUCAAGGGGCUUUCAGUGCUUUUCCAUCGGCACAAACACCACCAGUUCAUCCCCACACUCAUCACACACUCAUGAACCCCAUGGGCCAACAAUCUGCACCACCUCUGUGCAAUUCUUAUGUUGUACAGUCCUUUCCAAAUAGUCAAAGCCAAUAUACAUCUGAAGAACAGUGGCGAAUGACAUCUGGUAACUUCAGUCCAGAUGAUCAGCAUACUUGGUUACCAGGUGGCAGAUCAUUAUCUUGCUCAGAUGGGUCAUUCAUGCAGGAUGGAUAUUCGAGGUCCAACAUUGAGAGAUCUUCAAUGAAUCCAAUGAGCCAUCAACAUCCUGCACAGGCUAUACUCAACCAUUUGCCAUCUGGAGCAGCACAUCCAGGUCACAUUCCUCAGAUGCUGCCAGCCAAGCCUGAUAUUCAUGCACGUAAUCGCUGGAGGCCUUCUAGAUAAAAUCUAUUUGUUGCGGUUUUGACAUGGGAAAUUGGUGGUGCUGGAAGUCAUUUGAAAUGAGGAUGCAACAAGAGGUGCUUACACUAGUCUGUUUUGCGACGAGGAUUCACUUUUGCAUGAGGAGUAAUGAUGAGAUCAGAUGAUAUUAAUUGGAAUGGACAUUUUACAUUGUAAUUAGUCUGGGCAGCAGCAUCCAGCAGACUAAUCUCUCUUAGUGUCUGAAGAACAUUCAACUCGGCGGCGUUAAGUUAUGGUUUUGCUGUGAUGGCUGCUGGAGGCUUUGAUGAAGUCAAGGGGGAGGAGCUUAAUGUGGUGAGCAGUGUUCCAUUUUGUUCUUUUGGCCGGCAAACUCGAGUGCUUCGUUUGAAGAGGCCUCGGUGAAGAAUUGUACAAAAGAGAUACCCCAUGUACAGCUUUCUUUGGUAACUGAAAGGUAGUAAAUGUACAGUGGAUGCUGAUAUUAUGGGUAGUAAUAGUCGUCCCUUGGCAAAAGCUAUGGAUGACGGAUGGGGUUCCUCUUAUUGUUGGAUAAAUGGAAGAAAGAAAAAGGCGGGCGAUAAGUUAUAACAUGCA